rnacentral:rRNA from 1 species
GAUGAACGCUGGCGGCGUGCCUAAUACAUGCAAGUCGAGCGAACGGACGAGAAGCUUGCUUCUCUGAUGUUAGCGGCGGACGGGUGAGUAACACGUGGAUAACCUACCUAUAAGACUGGGAUAACUUCGGGAAACCGGGGCUAAUACCGGAUAAUAUUUUGAACCGCAUGGUUCAAAAGUGAAAGACGGUCUUGCUGUCACUUAUAGAUGGAUCCGCGCUGCAUUAGCUAGUUGGUAAGGUAACGGCUUACCAAGGCAACGAUGCAUAGCCGACCUGAGAGGGUGAUCGGCCACACUGGAACUGAGACACGGUCCAGACUCCUACGGGAGGCAGCAGUAGGGAAUCGUCCGCAAUGGGCGAAAGCCUGACGGAGCAACGCCGCGUGAGUGAUGGAGGUCUUCGGAUCGUAAAACUCUGUUAUUAGUGAAGAACAUAUGUGUAAGUAACUGUGCACAUCUUGACGGUACCUAAUCAGAAAGCCACGGCUAACUACGUG